GAUGAACGCUGGCGGCGUGCUUAACACAUGCAAGUCGAGCGAAGCGGCUGAAUUGAUUCUUCGGAUGAUUUUCAGUUGACUGAGCGGCGGACGGGUGAGUAACGCGUGGGUGACCUGCCCCAUACCGGGGGAUAACAGCUGGAAACGGCUGCUAAUACCGCAUAAGCGCACAGAGCUGCAUGGCUCGGUGUGAAAAACUCCGGUGGUAUGGGAUGGGCCCGCGUCUGAUUAGGCAGUUGGCGGGGUAACGGCCCACCAAACCGACGAUCAGUAGCCGGCCUGAGAGGGCGACCGGCCACAUUGGGACUGAGACACGGCCCAAACUCCUACGGGAGGCAGCAGUGGGGAAUAUUGCACAAUGGGGGAAACCCUGAUGCAGCGACGCCGCGUGAGCGAAGAAGUAUUUCGGUAUGUAAAGCUCUAUCAGCAGGGAAGAUAAUGACGGUACCUGACUAAGAAGCCCCGGCUAACUACGUGCCAGCAGCCGCGGUAAUACGUAGGGGGCAAGCGUUAUCCGGAUUUACUGGGUGUAAAGGGAGCGUAGACGGCAAGGCAAGUCUGAUGUGAAAACCCAGGGCUUAACCCUGGGACUGCAUUGGAAACUGUCUGGCUCGAG
rnacentral:rRNA from 1 species